rnacentral:rRNA from 1 species
UACGUAGGGGGCAAGCGUUGUCCGGAUUUACUGGGCGUAAAGAGCGUGUAGGCGGCCUCAAAAGUCGGAUGUGAAAUCCCGUGGCUCAACCAUGGACGUGCAUUCGAAACUGCGAGGCUUGAGUAUGGAAGAGGGUCGCGGAAUUCCCGGUGUAGAGGUGAAAUUCGUAGAUAUCGGGAGGAACACCAGUGGCGAAGGCGGCGACCUGGGCCAAUACUGACGCUGAGGUGCGAAAGCGUGGGGAGCAAACAGG